CAAGACGUAGCUACAAUCCUAAAGCAUUCAGCUUACACCUGAAAGAUGUCUGCACAACCAGAUCGUCUUGA
rnacentral:tRNA from 1 species